CAAGUGUUUGGCUGGUUUCCUUUUUUCUCUUUUUUUCUAUCUUUUUCUUUUCGUUAUUUUUGCUGAGUGUGAACGUUGACAUGCUGAAGUGGGGAGGGCGAAUCGAAUGUCGAAGCUGAAGUGAAAGAGGUGAAAGG
rnacentral:ribozyme from 1 species